GAUGAACGCUGGCGGCGUGCUUAACACAUGCAAGUCGAACGGUGAAGGCGGAGCUUGCUCUGCUGGAUCAGUGGCGAACGGGUGAGUAACACGUGAGCAAUCUGCCCCUGACUCUGGGAUAAGCGCUGGAAACGGCGUCUAAUACUGGAUACGAGCUGCGAAGGCAUCUUCAGCAGCUGGAAAGAACUUCGGUCAGGGAUGAGCUCGCGGCCUAUCAGCUUGUUGGUGAGGUAGCGGCUCACCAAGGCUUCGACGGGUAGCCGGCCUGAGAGGGUGACCGGCACAACUGGGACUGAGAAACGGCCGAGAUGCUGACGGGAGGAAGGGGUGGGGAAUAUUGCACAAGGGGCGAAAGCCGGAUGCAGCAAGGCCGCGUGGGGGAGGAGGGCCUUCGGGUUGUAAACCUCUUUUAGCGGGGAAGAAGCGAAAGUGACGGGACCGGCAGAAAAAGCGCCGGCUAACUACGU
rnacentral:rRNA from 1 species